rnacentral:rRNA from 1 species
AUGCUUCCGCGUGCGUGCGCAGGGCCGGACCAGAGCUCGGACACCAUGGAGGAACACCGCUCCCGCUCCCCGGCGUCGUCGAACGUGGCGGAGGCGCCGCGCCGGCGGUACCGCGGGGUGCGGCAGCGGCCGUGGGGCAAGUGGGCGGCGGAGAUCCGGGACCCGCACAAGGCGGCGCGCGUCUGGCUCGGCACCUUCGAGACGGCCGAGGCCGCGGCGCGCGCCUACGACGACGCAGCGCUGCGCUUCCGCGGCAGCCGCGCCAAGCUCAACUUCCCCGAGGACGCGCGCCUGCACCCGGCCACCGUCACCCCCGCCGCCGCGCCGGCCCGGGCGCCGAUCGCCGCGCAGUCGGCCUCGACGCCCGCCAUGUACGCCGGCUCCACCCAGGCCUCCGACUACCUGCGCUACCAGAUGCUCCUGCAGGGCAGGGGCGCCGCCGCCGCCAACCAAGGCAACCUUCUCUCGUUCUACGGCGGGGGCGGGGGCGGGGGCGGCGCCAUGAGCAGCUCGUAUGGCGGCGGUGUCAUGAGCAGCUCCUAUGGCGGCGGCGGCGGCGGCGGCGGCACCAUGAGCGGUUUCCUGGGGUCCUACUACUCGUUCCCGUCCUCCUCCGUCUCGGUGGCCACGGUGCCGUCCUCCUCCUCCGCGUCCUCCGCUCCGGGCCACCACUACUCGUCGCCGCACGACCCGCAGCAGCACCAGCAGCAGCAGGGCGACGCGGCGGCGGAGUGGAGCUGGGAGAGCGCGCUGGCGCCGGACCCUGGCACGACGACGGCGGCCUCCUGGUCCGACUCGAGCCAGCAGCCGUACCACCCGCCGCACACCCAAUAG